rnacentral:misc_RNA from 1 species
UACAGCGAAGACCACAUGGCCACGUAUGAGCAAGUGCUUCGAUGGUGAUUCAGUACGCAGUUUCGCAAUUUGGGAAUGCGUCGAUCUCGCCGGCAGGCCAGGAAUGAUAUUGGACGUUUAUCGAUGCCUUAAUGGAAUUUUAUGAACGGAUAGGUAUAUCUAGUUUAUGAGAUCUAGUUAUGAGUUUAAUUUGUUAUUGAUUAUUUAUUUUCCUACCGAAUUUAAUCAUAUUACUGUAACUUUAUAUCGGUGGCUUUUAUGAGACAUUCCUUAUAAACUGAAAUUUAAGCGGCGUAGAUGUCAUACUAAUUUAUUUUAUCAAUUGAAGAAUAGAGUAAAUUGAUUAUAUAUACAUUAGGACUACCUCUUUUUAAAUUUAUCGCGGAAUUUGUGGUUAUCUGUUCAUAAUAUCUUCU